ACGAGAAUAAUUCUGCAAAUCAUAUGAGAAGUAUGCAGAGGUACAAAAGAGUUCACUAAGGGCUUUCAGAACUGCAUAUUGCAGUGGAAGGAAUAAGCUCAUGUGUUACAAAGCUAUCCAAAAUCAAAGUAGUGCUCCAUUUUCAUAUGGUUUGUAAAACUAAUCACUCCUAAGAGAGGUUUGUUAUGGUGCCCAAGUUGAAGUCAUUCAUGAAGGCACACCUGAAAGAUGCUGCAGAAAAGUCUAAUGCUGCAACAGAAGCUUUGUUAACAGAGCUUGCUCUUGAUGCCAAGGAAAAGGGAUCACGGAAAUGCUAAGGUUUUGAGUUGCUGGUGGUGAGGAGAAGCAUCCAACAAGUGUGCCUUUCGUCUCCUCUGAACCUAAGCAAGAUGUUGGUUUAAGUGAGCUGCAGCAUCGGAGUCAAUCUGGGCCAGUCCCUUUGCCUUUCAGCGGUAUACAAUUUGGUAGUGUCAAAUCGGAUAAGAAAUCAAAAGAUAAACUUGAACAACAACCUCUGAGGCAAGUGAAGUUGAUUAGCAUAUUUGCUUUUUUCAAAUAAUUCUACUUAGCAAAGAC